CAGUGGCUUACCAGCAAACAUCAAUCUGAACGCUUCCAAUUUGUGAUGAUGUCAUCAUGAAAUAAGCAAUUAAAUGUUUAUUUAUCCUAGAUUAUCAGUCAUUUUUCAUUUGUAAAAUAAUCUGAGGUCAUUAUCCAUACAAAUCUAAGUGUAUAUAGUAUGUGUAUCUGCGGUCAUCACAAGAUAAUCCGCCAUCUUGUAGCAGAACUUCACUUGCGUUAGCAUCCCAUUGACUCCCAUUCAUUUUGGCGUCACUUUGACAGCGAAUAACUUUACAGCUGAGGCGUUUAAAGACUCCAUUUGUCCAUUAUUUAUUUCUAAAGAUACACGACAAUGUAUAAAGGGCUCCAUUACCUUCUAUGUUACAUUAUGGCCCCGUAACCACUCGACUCUCUGUCGCACAGUAGAGAAAUUACCGUACAGACAGGAGGAGAAGCUCGCAGGCAAUCGGGGAGACGUCAAGAGAUAUGGCGUACUGGCGUUACAUUUUAAAAUACUAUACAAAAUAAUUAAUCAGAAUACUUACUCCUGCUCACUCGGGCCAAAGAACUCCCCGCUCAAGCUCGCCGUCUCUGCAAGAUUAACGAUGGCAGUUUGCACGCACAGCUACUAGAAGAUUUACAUCUGUCAGACAGGUUGCUGACGUCAUCAAGCUUAGUUUGAGUCUGCGCGUCAGAAACGGAAGUUCUAAAAAUCGCUAAAAAGGGGCUUCACUUGUCUCAAUUGAGUUCCAAUGGGGUCGCUGUGUCCAUUUCUUUUACUGUCUAUGGGGACAGCCCAGUCACCUUUAUCUGGAUGACGUGCGUUGCUCAAGGAAGUUGAGGUGGCUGUCGGAAGUUAAGCCAGUGAGUGUACCUCGCGGAGCUCCGCUCGAAGUCUCCCGCGAUUUAUUGUUUUAUCCGUGGCAAAAGUGUGGAUUGUCUGCGUUCUAAUCAAUCGCGCUCUGGAUCAUUCAAAGGAAAACAUGUUAUCCUCGCCAUUGUGUUAAUAGCGGAUGGUCGUUUAGACGCUGCAGGGCUAACAGUACGAGUGAGCAGUUCUAAAACCUGGGCGGAAUUAACGGAUUGGGAGCCUACAGCCUGUACACUCACGUCUGGGAAGUUCCAGCAAAACGUGGACCAGACUAGUAAAAGUAAACGGAGUUGUGAGUACACUACUAGGCCAGUUCUGAUGACUGUUUUUCAAGUGACUUGACUUUUGACUUUUUGACUGUUUUUUCAUCGGGGAAAUGUAUUUAUAUGGGUUUUCCCUUAUUGACUAUGGGAACUAUACAGUAUGUAUUAAAUUGUUGGAAUUACUGCUGAUCUUGUGACUUGGAAUAAUUUUGUUUCUUUUUUAUGGCUUUGUGGCGGGUCAAUUUGUGAACUAUUUUUUGUUUUUCUUUUUCAUACUCAAAUCAAAAAGUCAUUUUUGAGACAUUUGAACUGUGUUGAUAUUUGCUAAUAUAUAUAUAUUUGAAUGAAUUCUAGUUAUUUGUCAUAUUGACUGUAGUAGUGGUCUAUUUAAGAGAGUUGUUUUUGGGUAUUAUUGCAUUGCAAUUCUUUUCUCAUAUAAGUGAGGGGUUUUGUGACAGACAAACCAGACUGCACAAGACCUUUGAACGUUUUCGUAAA
ensembl:lncRNA